rnacentral:rRNA from 1 species
UACGUAGGUGGCAAGCGUUAUCCGGAAUUAUUGGGCGUAAAGAGCGCGCAGGUGGUUGAUUAAGUCUGAUGUGAAAGCCCACGGCUUAACCGUGGAGGGUCAUUGGAAACUGGUCAACUUGAGUGCAGAAGAGGGAAGUGGAAUUCCAUGUGUAGCGGUGAAAUGCGUAGAGAUAUGGAGGAACACAAGUGGCGAAGGCGGUUUCCGGGUCUGUAACUGACACUGAGGCGCGAAAGCGUGGGGAGCAAACAGG